rnacentral:rRNA from 1 species
CCUACGGGUGGCAGCAGUCGAGAAUCAUUCACAAUGGGGGAAACCCUGAUGGUGCGACGCCGCGUGGGGGAAUGAAGGUCUUCGGAUUGUAAACCCCUGUCAUGUGGGAGCAAAUUAAAAAGACAGUACCACAAGAGGAAGAGACGGCUAACUCUGUGCCAGCAGCCGCGGUAAUACAGAGGUCUCAAGCGUUGUUCGGAAUCACUGGGCGUAAAGCGUGCGUAGGCUGUUUCGUAAGUCGUGUGUGAAAGGCGCGGGCUCAACCCGCGGACGGCACAUGAUACUGCGAGACGAGAGGAAUGGAGGGGGAACCGGAAUUCUCGGUGUAGCAGUGAAAUGCGUAGAUAGCGAGAGGAACACUCGUGGCGAAGGCGGGUGCCUGGACAUUAACUGACGCUGAGGCACGAAGGCCAGGGGAGCGAAAGGGAUUAGAUACCCUAGUAGUC